rnacentral:rRNA from 1 species
UACAGAGGGUGCGAGCGUUGUUCGGAAUUAUUGGGCGUAAAGGGCGCGUAGGCGGCGCGGUAAGUCACCUGUGAAAUCUCCUGGCUCAACUGGGAGCUUGCAGGCGAAACUGCCGUGCUGGAGUGUGGGAGAGGUAAGCGGAAUUCCUGGUGUAGCGGUGAAAUGCGUAGAUAUCAGGAGGAACACCGGUGGCGAAGGCGGGUCUCUGGGACGUAUCAUCGACGCUGAGGAGCGAAAGCGUGGGGAGCAAACAGG